UAAAAACUUAAUUGAGCAGCAUGGUAACAGAGGAUCCAUAGCCGACCACAACUUGCUUGGGAUAGAGUUAUAGUUGUAUAAGAGAUAUAACUGCAGCUGUCCUGACAGAUAACAUCUAAAAAGUUAUGUUGGUUCAUGAUUUUUAACAACUUCCAUCAUCUUGAAGUGAUUGUUGGAUUCGUACGGAUCUAUAGAAGCCACGUGGG
rnacentral:misc_RNA from 1 species